CAGCGCCGCGGGAAUAUGUAGGUGGCAAGCGUUGUCCGGAAUUAUUGGGCGUAAAGGGCUCGCAGGCGGUUUCUUAAGUCUGAUGUGAAAGCCCCCGGCUCAACCGGGGAGGGUCAUUGGAAACUGGGAAACUUGAGUGCAGAAGAGGAGAGUGGAGUUCCACGUGUAGCGGUGAAAUGCGUAGAGAUGUGGAGGAACACCAGUGGCGAAGGCGACUCUCUGGUCUGUAACUGACGCUGAGGGGCGAAAGCGUGGGGAGCGAACAGGAUUAGAUACCCCCGUAGUCCCUGUCUCUUAUACA
rnacentral:rRNA from 1 species